AGAGUUUGAUCAUGGCUCAGGACGAACGCUGGCGGCGUGCCUAACACAUGCAAGUCGAGCGGAGGUACUUGAGGAGUAAUCUGAGGGUGCUUUAGCGGCGGACGGGUGAGUAACGCGUGAGCAACCUGCCUUUCACAGGGGGAUAAGGCGGCGAAAGCCGCUCUAAUACCGCAUGAGACCACGGUAUGAUGUACCAGGGGUCAAAGGAGCAAUCCGGUGAAAGAUGGGCUCGCGUCCGAUUAGGUAGUUGGUGGGGUAAAGGCUCACCAAGCCAAUGAUCGGUAGCCGGCCUGAGAGGGUGAACGGCCACAUUGGAACUGAGAGACGGUCCAAACUCCUACGGGGGGCAGCAGUGGGGAAUAUUGGGCAAUGGGGGAAACCCUGACCCAGCAACGCCGCGUGAGGGAAGAAGGUUUUCGGAUUGUAAACCUCUGUUCUUGGGGAAGAGAAGAAGACGGUACCCAAGGAGGAAGCCCCGGCUAACUACGUGCCAGCAGCCGCGGUAAUACGUAGGGGGCAAGCGUUGUCCGGAAUGAUUGGGCGUAAAGGGCGCGCAGGCGGCCUAUCAAGUCAGUAGUGGAAGUCCAGCUUUCAAGGUUGGAAGUGCUAUUGAAACUGAAUGGCUUGAGUGCAGGAGAGGUUAUCGGAAUUCCCGGUGUAGCGGUGAAAUGCGUAGAGAUCGGGAGGAACACCAGUGGCGAAGGCGGGUAACUGGACUGCAACUGACGCUGAGGCGCGAAAGUGUGGGGAGCAAACAGGAUUAGAUACCCUGGUAGUCCACACAGUAAACGAUGAAUGCUAGGUGUAGGGGGUAUCGACCCCUUCUGUGCCGGAGUAAGCACAAUAAGCAUUCCGCCUGGGGAGUACGGUCGCAAGAUUAAAACUCAAAGGAAUUGACGG
rnacentral:rRNA from 1 species